UNGCCAAUGCCAGGUCCAGCCAUCAGU
rnacentral:piRNA from 1 species